rnacentral:rRNA from 1 species
AUAUUGCGCAAUGGAGGAAACUCUUACGCAGCGACGCCGCGUGAGCGAUGAAGGUCUUCGGAUCGUAAAGCUCUGUCCUUUGGGAAGAAGGUCUUCUGACUUGACGGUACCCAUGGAGGAAGCCCCGCCUCACUACGUGCCCGCAGCCGCGGUAAUACGUAGGGGGCAAGCGUUGUCCGGAAUUAUUGGGAGUAAAGCGUGCGUAGGCGGCCUUUUAAGUCAGAUGUGAAAGCCCACGGCUCAACCGUGGGAUUGCAGUUGAAACUGGAGGGCUUGAGUAUCGGAGAGGGUAGUGGAAUUCCCAGUGUAGCGGUGAAAUGCGUAGAUAUUGGGAGGAACACCAGUGGCGAAGGCGACUACCUGGACGAUUACUGACGCUGAUGCACGAAAGCUAGGGGAGCAAACA